AACGAACGCUGGCGGCAUGCCUAACACAUGCAAGUCGAACGAGACCUUCGGGCUUAGUGGCGCACGGGUGCGUAACGCGUGGGAACCUGCCCUUAGGUUCGGAAUAACUCCCCGAAAGGUGUGCUAAUACCGGAUAAUGUCUUCGGACCAAAGAUUUAUCGCCUUUGGAUGGGCCCGCGUUGGAUUAGCCAGUUGGUAGGGUAAAAGCCUCUCAAGGCGACGAUCCAGAGCUGGUCUGAGAGGAGGAUCAGCCACACUGGGGCUGAGACACGGCCCAGAAUCGUACGGAAGGCAGGAGUGGGGAAUAUUGGACAAGGGGGGAAGGCCUGAUCAAGCAAUGCCGGGUGAGUGAUGAAGGGGUUAGGGUUGUAAAGCUCUUUGACACGGGAUGAUAAUGACAGUACCGGGAGAAGAAGCUCCGGCUAACUACGUG
rnacentral:rRNA from 1 species